AUUGAACGCUGGCGGCAUGCCUUACACAUGCAAGUCGAACGGUAACAGGUCUUCGGAUGCUGACGAGUGGCGAACGGGUGAGUAAUACAUCGGAACGUGCCCGAUCGGGGGGGAUAACGGAGCGAAAGCUUUGCUAAUACCGCAUACGAUCUACGGAUGAAAGCAGGGGACCGCAAGGCCUUGCGCGGACGGAGCGGCCGAUGGCAGAUUAGGUAGUUGGUGGGAUAAAAGCUUACCAAGCCGACGAUCUGUAGCUGGUCUGAGAGGACGACCAGCCACACUGGGACUGAGACACGGCCCAGACUCCUACGGGAGGCAGCAGUGGGGAAUUUUGGACAAUGGGCGCAAGCCUGAUCCAGCCAUGCCGCGUGCAGGAUGAAGGCCUUCGAGUUGUAAACUGCUUUUGUACGGAACGAAACGGCUCUUUCUAAUAAAGAGGGCUAAUGACGGUACCGUAAGAAUAAGCACCGGCUAACUACGUGCCAGCAGCCGCCGUAAAAC
rnacentral:rRNA from 1 species